UAAGCCAUGCACGUGUAAGUACACGCCUUUUUAAAGCGAAACUGCGAAUGGCUCAUUAAAUCAUAUGUGAUUUCUUAGAUCGUACCGUUCCCUCGGGGACGGGUGGAUAACUGUGGUAAUUCUAGAGCUAAUACAUGCAAUCAAGCUCAGACCUUCGGGGACGAGCGCUCAUAUUAGACCAAGGCCAACCUGUGGGGAAACCUGCAGUACGCUGUGGUGACUCUGGAUAUCCAUCAGUUGAUCGCACGACCUUCGCGUCGGCGACGUAUCUUUCAAGCGUAUGCCCUAUCACCUGUCGACGUUAGGUUAGUCGCCUAUCGUGGGUGUAACGGGUAGCGGGGAAUCUGGGUUCGAUUCCGGAGAGGGCGCAUGAGAAAUGGCGACCACAUCCAAGGAAGGCAGCAGGCGCGCAAAUUACCCAAUGCCGACACGGCGAGGUAGUGACGAAAAAUAACAAUACGGGACUCUUUUGAGGCCCCGUAAUUGGAAUGAGCACAAUCUAAAUCCUUUAGCGAGGAUCUAUUGGAGGGCAAGUCUGGUGCCAGCAGCCGCGGUAAUUCCAGCUCCAAUAGCGUAUAUUAAAGUUGCUGCAGUUAAAAAGCUCGUAGUUGGAUCUCGGGUAUCGUCUCGGUGGUCCUGUUCACGCAGGCACUGCCUUGAUGACCUAACCAAUGGUUGUAAGACUCCGAGUGCCCUUCACUGGGUGCUCGUGGGUGGCCAUUGCGUUUACUGUGAAAAAAUUAGAGUGUUCAAAGCAGGCUUUUAUAGCUCGAAUAGUCGUGCAUGGAAUAAUGGAAAAUGACACUGGCGCAUUUCUGUUGGUCUCUGUGACUGGUGUAAUGAUUAAGAGGGACUGCCGGGGGCAUUGGUAUGGCGGGGUUAGAGGUGAAAUUCUUGGAUCCUCGCCAGACCAACAAAAGCGAAAGCAUUUGCCAAGAUGUCUUCAUUAAUCAAGAACGAAAGUCAGAGGUUCGAAGACGAUCAGAUACCGUCGUAGUUCUGACCAUAAACGAUGCCAGCUUGGCGGUGGCGGGAGUUGUAUUUCAUGACUUCGCCACAGCCCCCCGGGAAACCUAAGCGAUUGGGUUCCGGGGGUAGUAUGGUUGCAAAGCUGAAACUUAAAGGAAUUGACGGAAGGGCACCACCAGGAGUGGAGCCUGCGGCUUAAUUUGACUCAACACGGGGAAACUCACCCGGCCCGGACACUGCAAGGAUUGACAGAUUGAGAGCUCUUUCUCGAUUCGGUGGAUGGUGGUGCAUGGCCGUUCUUAGUUGGUGGAGUGAUUUGUCUGGUUAAUUCCGAUAACGAACGAGACUCUGGCCUACUAAAUAGUUCGCGGAUCGACUUUACCGUCAGUCCGUAAUAACUUCUUAGAGGGACAAGUGGCGCUUAGCCACACGAGAUUGAGCAAUAACAGGUCUGUGAUGCCCUUAGAUGUCCGGGGCCGCACGCGCGCUACACUGAAAGAAUCAGAGGGUCUACGAUUCCUAACCCGAAAGGGUCGGGCAAUCCGUGGAACCUCUUUCGUGCUAGGGACUGGGGCUUGUAAUUAUUCCCCAUGAACGAGGAAUUCCUAGUAAGCACGAGUCAUCAGCUCGUGUUGAUUACGUCCCUGCCCUUUGUACACACCGCCCGUCGCUACUACCGAUUGGAUGGUUUAGUGAGACACUCGGACCGGCCCGCCUUUUGGUGUGUCUUCGGAUGCGCCUUGGUGUGUGCUGGGAAGAAGGUCAAACUUGACUGUCUAGAGGAAGUAAAAGUCGUAACAAGGUUUCCGUA
rnacentral:rRNA from 1 species